GAUGAAGAACGUAGCAAAAUGCGAUACUUGGUGUGAAUUGCAGAAUUCAGUGAAUCAUCGAAUCUUUGAACGCACAUUGCGCCCCCUGGUAUUCCGGGGGGCAUGCCUGUUCGAGCGUCAUUUCACCACUCAAGCCUCGCUUGGUAUUGGGCAACGCGGUCCGCCGCGUGCCUCAAAUCGACCGGCUGGGUCUUCUGUCCCCUAAGCGUUGUGGAAACUAUUCGCUAAAGGGUGUUCGGGAGGCUACGCCGUAAAACAACCCCAUUUCUAAGGUUGACCUCGGAUCAGGUAGGGAUACCCGCUGAACUUAAGCAUAUCAAUAAGCGGAGGA
rnacentral:misc_RNA from 1 species